rnacentral:lncRNA from 1 species
AACUGAGGCAUCUUGAAGAUCCUUUUGGACCCUUAGGGAUUCCCCGGUUAAUUCCUGCAGCACUUCUUGAAGUUUCCUCAGGCUGGCUCACGUCAGCCUUCUCCUAGGAUCAUGGGAUUAUCCUGAGGAUCCCACAAAGAAGACAAGUGAGAGUCUCCCACCGACCUACCUCCAUGGAGGUUUCCAUCUCCGCCACACUGCAGGGACUUGUCUCUAGGCAACGGUGGCAUUCAUUGUGACGCCAUCCAGAGCUUACAGCUCAGGCCUCCUGCCCUGAGACUAGCACAUGCAAAUUCGUGAGGCAAGGUUGGGUGCCCAGCUGUCAGAGAUUUCUGCCUGCCUAAACAGAGGUAAAUAGUACAGGCAGAGCCGGCCUGGUAUCAGAAAAAAGCCUGACUGUGAUAAUUCACUGAGGGACACUAAAAGUCUCAACCUUAGAGCUCCCUCCGGUUGUCUCCAUGGUCUGGCCUUACUUCAGCAGGACACAUUUUGAGACUAUGAGGUGGAUGCUGGAAACUGCUUUUCUGACUCCUUGCCCAAAAGAGGCUGUGUGUUAAGAAUCAGGUCCUAUUGAGAGAAGCUGGCUGGGCUUCUGGGUCCAGUGGGGACUUGGAGAACUUUUCUCUCUAGCUAAAUGAUUGUAAACACACCAAUCAGCACUCUGUAAAAAUGGACCAAUCACCACUCUGUAAAACAGACCCAUCGGCACUCUGUAAAAUGGACCAAUCAGCAGAACGUGGGUGGGGCCAAAUAAGGGAAUAAAAGCUGGCCACCUGAGCUAGCAGUGGCAACCCGGGGGGUUCCUCCCAUGGUGUGGAGGGUUCCUUCUUUCGCUCUUCACAAUAAAUCUUGCUGCUGCUCAGCCUUUGGGUCUGCACUACUUUUAUGAGCUGUAACACUGACUGAAAAUGUCUGUGGCUUUACUCCUGAAGUCAGCGAGACCAUGAACCCACCAGGAGGAACAAGCAACUCUGGAGGCGCCACCUUUAAGAGCUGUAACACUCACUGGGAAGGUCUGCGGAUUCACUACUGAUGUCAAGUGGGACCAUGAACCCACCAGAAGGAAGAAACUCUGGACACAUCUGAACAUCUGAAGGAACAAACUCUGGACACACCAUCUUUAAGAACUACAACACUCACCCCAAGGGUCCACAGCUUCAUUCUUGAAGUCAGCAAGACUAAGAACCCACCAGAAGGAACAAAUUCUGGUCACACCAUGGGGAUUGGAAUAUAGUCUGUUGAAAUUGUGGGACCCAUCCACUCCUCACUAGAUUGUAUCCUCAACCCUAUCUGACCUUAUUGCUGCUCACACUCUGUGUCCCAGGAUGAAAUCUCAAGAUGAUGGAGGAGUGCCCCCUUUGACCUGAAGCACCUGCUCAGCUAGGAACCAAAUUCAAGGGGGAGGUGACUUGGACGCUGGCAAGUCUCGACCCGCCCCCCAAUAUACUGGGGAUUCAUGAUCCACAGAAAAAUAGAGAACACAGCCCUGCGACUAAAGCAAAGCCACACAGACAAGCCAUCAAAAUGUUGAGAGACUCAAAUAAAGAAGCACUGAAAUGUGUUAGCCACAUUCUUUUAAGCAGACUCCAUUUGCAGGAACACACACACACAAAGACACAAUACCACACAAACACAUGCAGAAAUCUGACACUCAUAACACUCCCACAGAAACACACAGCCCGGCAGCUUCUGAGGCUGUGUGUUUCUGUAGGAAGCCCCACCUUGGAGAGAGCAACCCCAGGGAACAGAGGCAGGCUCUAACUAAAAAUAUCAUGGGGGCAAGUUUCAUAAAGACUCACUCCUAGAACUCCUGGGCAGGCCUAAGGAAUCCUGCAGAUGAUUUUGGAUCCACAGGGAUUUUGUAGUUUAUUCCUGGGGCUCUGCUUGACAUUUCUUCAGGCUCACUCACAUCUUUCUCUCCUAGGAUCAUGGGAUUAUUCCAUGUAUCCCACAGAGAAGACAGGUGAGAGUCCACCAGCGCACCUCCACAGAGGUCUCUUUCUCCACAAGCUGCAGGGACUUGUCUCUUGCCAACAGUGACAUUCCUUGUGACACUUGCCAGAACUCAAAAUCAGGCAUGGUGCCCUGAGUCUAGCUCAUGCACAUUCGUGAGGCAGGCUCUGGCAUCCGGCUGUCAGAGCUGUCAGCCUGACUAAGCAGAGGAAAAUGCUGCAAGCAGAGCCGGCCUUGUAUCAGGAAAAAGGAUGCCUAUGAAAACCCACUGCGAGACCCUAAAAGUCUCAAACUCAGGGCCUCUUUGGGCCAUCUCCAUGGUCAGGUCCCACUGGAGGAGGAGGUGUUUCAAGACUGUGAGGUGGUCGCUGGAAACUGCUCUUCUGACUCUAUUCCUGAAAGAGGCUGUGUGCAAGAAUCAGGUCCCAUGGAGAUUGGAAUAGAGUCUCUUGUGUUGUUGGGGUUCUUUGGGUGAUAGAAUUAUACUUGAAACCCCAGAGGUGGGCAUCACUAAAAGAUGCCCGAGCUUGACCUCAUGGCAUCCCUUCAUCCUGGGUCUCACAGGGGCUGUCUGGAAAAGUCAGGAACCAUCACAGAGGAAAGUCCAAGGUGAAGCAGUUGUCUCACACCACAGACUGGUCUCUCCUUGGUGCAGAUGAGGUUGACACAGUGACUCAGAGGCUGUCUGUGGUGAUAGUAAGCCUGAAAAUUGUGUUCAGCAGUGCUGUAGUGCUGUUAAGGGUCAUUGUAGAUUUUUCAUGAAAGCAAGGAAAAAACAAGGCUUGCCUGAGGAAAUGAGCUGCCUUGUGCUGGAGUCCAAACUUGGACUGAACUCUUAUGGGUAAAGAUAAGGUAGAGACCAUGUCUCAGAGGUCAUCUUUGAUGAUGCCAAGCCUGAAAAUGAUAUCCAGUAGAGCUGUUGAAGGACACUGUAGAUUGUCCAUAAAAGCAAAGAAAAAUCAAGGUUCACCUGAUAGAAUGAGCUGCAUUGACCUGGAGUUUAAGCAAUGUUCAAUGCUUCCUGUUAGAGGUCCCAAAAGCCUCCUGCAAAUUGCAAACAACCUCAGCCCCCAUAACGAGACAACGACUCAAAACUUGGAGCACCGCCAGACUCCUCAAAGUCCCUUUUGCUCUUUGAAAUCUCUGGAAGCAAAAUAAUCUUUGGCAAGAGGCAGUCCCAUCCAGCCACAGCCCAAUGAAAGAACCCCCACUCAACGAGAAGACCAUGUAGAUGAAAAAAAUCAGAGACUAGAUUGCCAGGCAAAAGCCAGACAGGGCUGCCUGCUUCUCAUCCUACAGGAAUCAUGCGGAAUGCCAAGAGAAGUGAAAAAAAAAAGAGUUUCCUUGUUGGCAGCUGUAAGGGAAUUUACAGUUUUAAAGGUAUCAAAGCUGCCCAGUCAUUAAAUUGUGACAGUGUUUAGAAGGAAACACUCAGGCAAUGGAUUCCCAUUAGGGUCAUUCUCUGUGAACUGAGAAACGUUUACUGUGUCAUUGAGCCAGACACAGGAAAACCUGCACCAACAAGAAACAUGGACAUCAGAGAAAGAAGAGUCAAGUGUGGAGGCCAUAUCCCACCAAGCAUCAAUCCAUUUCAUUCCCAUUUGGCUCCCG